rnacentral:misc_RNA from 1 species
GAUGAAGAACGCAGCGAAAUGAGAUAAGUAAUGUGAAUUGCAGAAUUCAGUGAAUCAUCGAAUCUUUGAACGCACAUUGCGCCCGCCAGCACUCUGGCGGGCAUGCCUGUUCGAGCGUCAUUUCAACCAUCAAGCCCCCAGGGGCUUGUGCUGGGGCCCUGCGGCUGCCCGCAGGCCCUGAAAACCAGUGGCGGGCUCGCUAGUCACACCGAGCGCAGUAGCACAUCUCGCUCAGGGCGUGCGGCGGGCUCCUGCCGUGAAACCCCCCACUGUAACCCCAAAGGUUGACCUCGGAUCAGGUAGGAAUACCCGCUGAACUUAAGCAUAUCAAUAAGCGGAGGA